GUGCCCACUUGGGCAGCACAUACACUGAAAUUGGAAUGAUACAGAGAAGAUUAGCAUGGCCCCUGUGCAAAGAUGACAGGCAAAUUCAUGAAGUGUUCCGUGUUUUU
ensembl:snRNA LOC120101171 U6 spliceosomal RNA